CAAAAAAAGGGUCAGGUGCAUAAAUUGUGAAAACGUUUACCAUGAUAGCUGCGCAAAAAGCAAAUUAGAGAAUGUAUCAGUGAUUGAUGCCGAUAACAUAAAGUGUUGUGUCAGUGCAACUGGUGUCAACAUCUUGCCGAACAAAUCUAAACCUGGUGCAACAACGAUAACGUCGGAAAUGUGUAUUUCCCUGGUUUCAAAAAAGCAUCACACUACUCCAGAUCAACCCAUAAAGGCGGUGGCGUGGGAAUUUGGUGCCGUGAAAAUGUCGACAUAACCCCCAUAAACCUACAUUCGUACUGCAUCGAAAAAACAUUCGAAAUAUGUGGUAUUGCAUGGAAUACAAAGACUGGCGUAAACGGAAACACCAAAAUUAUUAUUCUAUCUUGUUACAGGUCGCCCACAGGCGAUUUUAACGAAUUCUAUUUUAAACUAAAUGCUGUGUUAAAUAGUUUGUUCGAUCAAAAGAGCCACUUUAUAUUAUCAGGGGACCUGAAUGUUGAUCCCACACGAGACACUCGACUGUUCAAUAUGUUAUGUAAUUUACUAAUUUCAUACAAUAUGUAUAGUCUAGUGAAAAUGCCCACCAGAGGAGAUAAAAUUCUAGAUCACAUCUUCACUAGUCUUGAGCCGGUGAAUUAUGUAGUAGAUGAAAAUAUUAUAUGCGAUCAUUUUACUAUACUACUUAACUCCAAUAUAAAGGGCACCACAUAUGUUAAGCGCCCCCGAAGACGCACCAGGAUCUUUACUAAAAAUCAAAUAGGUGAGUAAGUAACGAAAAUUGACUUUCAGUUAUCACUGCUGAGGAGUUAGACGUGGCAUUCAAUGCAUUCAAUAAUACGAUCAUGUAUCACUUCAACUUCCUUUUUCCGAUUCAAGAUGUGACCAGCACUAACAGUAAAAAAGGGUGGGUGACCAAUGAGGUGAGAGUUUCUGCUGCUAAUUUGAAAUCCUUAUGCGCAUUACAAAAAAAAUAUCCCAUUUUAAAAACGUUCUACUUAAAGAAAAAGAAAGAACAUUUUUCUCUUGUCUCCACUACACGUAAAACUAACAUACAGCACAAAAUUCUAAGCUCAGAUAAUAUCGGCAAAAGUACGUGGUCGUUUAUUAACAACAAUAAGGUCCAAAAAGACACUCAAAACUAUAAACUAAUGGAAAAUACGCGGCACAUUGAUGAUCCCCUGGAGGUAGCCAAUCUUUUUAAUAAUCAUUUCAGAAACGCUCCCCUGGACACGAUACACUCAAUAAAAAAUAACGAUCCUACCACUUUAAGCACUAAUACUAACCAGAGAACAAUGUAUCUAUACCCUUUCUGUGAACAGGAACUAAUCCAGUUAAUCAAUAACAAAAUAAAAAGCAAAAGAUCGGCAGGACCUGACGACUUUCCUUGUUUUUUUGGUUCGUAUAAUCUCUCACGUAAUUGUGAGGCCCUUAACAUUUUUAAUUAAUGUAUCCUUUUUAACUGGCGCGUUUCCAGAAGCCCUUAAACUGGCAAAAACUAUCCCAGUUCACAAAAAGGGGAGUAAAUACACUCCAAACAAUUUUAGACCUAUCUCUAUAACAUCCGUCUUCACAAAAAUUUUUGAGUAUUGCUUUUUGGAUAGACUAGAAAGAUUUAUUGAAAAAUGUAAAAUAUUAAUACCUAACCAGUUUGGCUUUAGACCUAAUAAAUCCACAACUGAUGCAAUUCUUUUCUUCUACGAUACAGUGCUUCAGUCGAUAGGAAAAAAAGAACUGCCUAUUGGGAUAUAUUGCGAUAUCACGAAAACAUUUGACUGUGUCAACCAUAAUCUACUGUUACAGAAAUUGUCUUGCUACGGCGUCAGAGGCACUGCCCUGAAUUGGCUGGAAAAGUUUCUACAAAAUCGAACGCAGUAUGUCUCAUUGCGACAUAGUAAUAAGGGAUACACCACUAACAUUAAUUCAGACAUCAUAAAGCUAAACGUGGGUACACCCCAAGGGAGCAUUUUAGCACCGAUCCUCUUUACACUAUUUACAAACGAUGUUCUGAGCUGCAUCCCGGUUGAUGCAACUCUUUCACUAUAUGCGGACGACCCGGCCGUGGUUGUUUCACACCCGGAUGAAAAUGAAUUACGAGCAACAUGUAUAUUAACAAUUGAAAAUUUAUCUAGAUGGUUUGAGAAUAAUCUAUUAUUCUUAAAUCAUAGCAAAACGAAAUUUUUACAAUUUCACAAUUAUCAAAAUACUAAUACUCUUGACAUUAAUAUUUCUGUUAAUGAUGCUAAUUUAGAAAAAUCAUCUACAGUAAAAUUUUUGGGCGUCGUGCUGGAUGACACUCUAAGCUGGACAUCCCACAACGAAAACUUAAUUAAACAAUUAAAUACUGAAUGUUAUCGAGUACGCUACCUUAGGUACUAUCUAGAUGUGAAACAGCUUCGGAUGUUCUACUUUGCCUGCAUUGAAUCGCGGCUCAGGUAUGGUUUGUGCCUU